rnacentral:lncRNA from 1 species
UUAAAAAGGACGUGAUGCGGUGUUAAAGCUAGAGAGUGCAACAAGGCAAGAUGAAGACCUGCAACCAACAAAACCUACAACAUUGACAAGGUGAGUUGCUCAUAUUAGACCCUGGAGACGACUAAAGGGAGAAAUCUAUCUGGAGGGGCAUUGGAGACAAAAAUUCAAUCAUUAUCAAUUAUCUAAUUGAAAUAAUUAUUUGUUUUAAAAAGGACGUGAUGCAAUGUUAAAGAGAGUGCAACAAGACAAGAUGAAGACCUGCAACCAACAAAACCUACAACAUUGACAAGGUGAGUUGCUCAUAUUAGGCCCUGGAGACGACUAAAGAGAGAAAUCUAGCUGGAGGGGCAUUGGAGACAAAAAUAUCAUGAUGUCAUUAUAUCGUGAUGCAAUAACAUUAUGUGAUGCUACCAUGUCAUUAUGUCGUGUGCGAACAUGCCAUUAUGUCGGUUCUUCUUCACAUUUCAAAAUAUGUCAUCUCUUAUAUGCAAUUUUAUUAUAUGGCAAGCAUCACUUCUGGUGAAAUGGCGGACUGCGAUUGGCUGAGAAGCACUUUCAGCGGUCCAUUUUUUCCCGUAAUGGACCGAUGGUCCAUUAUGUAAAAACUAACGCAUACAUUUUGAAACAAAACAGCAAAACUAUAAUUGAAAAUUAUAAUUUAAUUUGUUAUUAAUACUAUAUCUGCGCGCGAAUGCGUGGUUUUAGUGGAAAAUAAGGAAUACAUUAGUAUAGUAUUUUUUAGUUUUCUUCCGACCAAAUGUGUACCACGCAAUUAAUAUAAAUUUCAAAUCGUGCAUUUCUUGUUUGUUUCAAGUAUAAAUGCCUAUAACGCCAUAUUAUUAACCUUUUAUUAAUUAACCUCGCUUGCUCGGUAUGUAUAGAGAAAUAUCGGACCUCGGUCUUUUGGUACAAACCUCGUCCCACGUGCUCGGUCUGUGCAAAAAAGACCUCGGUCCUAUAUAUCUCUGUACAGACCCCGCGUAAUUAAUAUUCGGUUAAUAAGAAGUUUAUGUCGUGUCAUCAUAACUCAUGCCGUAACAGUAACCUAUCCGUACUUGGCCGUGAGAUGUCGUACACGGGCGGAUUUUCAUAUUUUUAAAGGAGCUAAGAUGGAAAAUUUUCUAGUGGGGUGCAAGCGGCAUCACUGAGCGAGCUUCGGCAGGGGUUAGGCGUUGAAGACUUUCCCACAAAAUAGGAGGGGUGAGGAGGACUUUCAGCGGUCCAAACGCAUGCAUUUUAAAACAAAACGGCAAAACUAAUUGAAAAUUAUAAUCUAAUUUGUUAUUAAUAAAAUAUCUGCGAAAUGGUUUUUAGUGGAAAGAAGGAAUACAUUGGUAUAUUUUGUUUUUCUUCGACCAAAUGUGUACCACGCUACUAAUAUGCAUUUCAAAUCUGCAUGCAUUUCUUGUUUAUACGUAUGUGCGUUUUUUUGUUUGUUUGUUUCAAGUAUAAAUGCCAUAUAAUAAUAUUUUUAUUAACCUCGCUUUCUCGGUAUGUACAGAUAAAUAUUGGACCUCGUUCUUUUUCUACAAACCUCGCCAUACGGGCUCAGUCUGUACAAAAAAGAACUCGGUCCGAUAUUUCUCUGUAUAAUGCAGACCUCGCGUUCGGUUAAUAACACGACAUAAUUACAUGGUAACAAGAGUUGCAAGACAUAAUGACAUGAUGUUAUGCAUCACGAUAUAAUGGAUAUGAUGACAUCAUGAUAUUUUUGUCUCUAAUGCCCCUCCAUACUCAGAGAACUGCUAUUCAAAAUAUGUCAACACAAAUAGUUCGUUUCUUCGUAAUAUUGCACUGUGAAAAUUGUUACAGGUGCUAAAGCGUCCCGAUUCAAGAGCAUGCGCUUUAGAAACUACUGCAAGUUUUCUUGCAUGCACUUCCGGUUCCGUGUAUCCCAGGACCUUAUUAUCAUAAUUAAUUUCUAACGAUAGUUUUUUUUUAAAUUCAAAAGAUGAUGUGAUGGGAAGAAUCGACGAUGUAACGAUUCAACGAUGCAAGCUGAGAGAAGUCAACAUGAAAAGACCAGAAUGAAUGACACGCGGAUGAUAUGACCCAAGAAAAUAAUGACAUUUCGCGACAAUCGGAAACCACAAAUUGCUAAUAUGAAAGUAGUGCAAAUUUUACCAAUGUAAGUUAAAGGCAAGAUACUUAUUCAGAAAUCAAAGGGGAUUCCAGCGAAUACAAUUGUUUCUCGUUGAAAAAAUAAAAGAAUUACAUGGUAAAUUUAAUAUAAAAUCAACGUGAUUAUUAAGUGCCUUUGGUAAAACUAAAUAAAAUGAAG